UUCCCAUGAUCCUCUGCGCCAGAUCUGUGUGAAUGUGUUGUGUGCAGCGCGCUGUGUGCAAAUAAGAAAAUAAAGAUGGCGGCUGAUGGAAUCCCGGGCACAGAGCCGAACCCGGACCUGAACUCAUGGAGCGGCCCCGAGUUACAGACCAAACUGACGGAGAGCGGAGCGCCUGUUAUGGGCCCGAGAGAAGAGUUAAUAGACAGACUGAAAUCCUACAUGAUGCAGACCGGUGUGAUGUUGACUAAACCCAGCUUGCCCGGCGGAGACGACAAGGCCAUGACGACGAUGCCAGGUCUGCCUCCCAUGCCCCCAAUGCCAUCUAUGCCUCUGCCGCCAGGCAUGGGCGUGCUGCAGGCCAUGGGUAUAAUGGGAGGACCACCUCCACCUGGCAUGAGCAUGGAGCCACCGGGCAUCUCCUCUGGCAUGGCACAGGACGACCCGCAGAAGAUCGCUCAGAGGGCCGGUCAGGGCGAUUCCAGAGUGAUGGAGGAGCAGCUGAAGGAGCAGGAGCUUCUCGAGCAACAGAAGAGAGCUGCACAGCUGCUGGAGCACGAGAGGCAGCAGGAGUUGGUUAAGCUGCAGCAGGUGGGACCACCAGGCACCCGGGCCCCAGAAGCAGGACCUGCACCCAACCUGCUGCCCCCUAUUCCUCCACUCAGAGCCUUGAUAACCAGUGGCCCACCCCCUCCAGGCGUUUCCAUGGUACCGCAGAGCAGUCAGAGGCAGAGAGUACCACCUCCACCUGGAGAAGAUGCGAGAGAGGCGUGGCAGAGUGAUGAUGUGGGAGUCGGGCCGAAGAACCCUCAGGCUCUGGAGAAGAUCCUACAGCUGAAGGAGAUCCGACAGGAGCAGCUCACCGCCGCUCCUACAGAAGAGGAAGAUGACGACACGGCCGAUGUGGACAUGAACAGCUCUCGUCCGUACUCGGAUGAUGAAGAAGAAAGCACACUCUCUAAAAAAGAGUGUGGCACUGGGUCACUAGUGUUUAUUGAUGAUGUGACACAAGACAGAAGCAGCCGGAUGAAUUCUGAGGAGGAUGCAAAAACUAUGAAGACCAAAAUGCGAGAGAAAGUUCGCCCAAAGAUGGGAAAGAUUGACAUCGACUACCAGAAGCUCCAUGACGCCUUCUUCAAGUGGCAGAUCAAGCAGAAGCUCACCAUCCAUGGAGACCUGUACUACAAGGGGAAGGAGUUUGAGACGCGGCUGAAGGAGAAGAAACCUGGAGAUCUGUCUGAUGAGCUGAGGAUCGCUCUGGGCAUGCCCACUGGCCCUAACUCCCAUAAGGUUCCUCCUCCAUGGCUUAUUGCGAUGCAGAGAUACGGUCCUCCCCCGUCCUACCCCAAUCUCAAGAUUCCUGGCCUCAACGCCCCUAUUCCUGAGCAUCAUCUACAACCUGGGGAUGAGUGCCACUCAUGUCCACAAUGAAGCUUGGUCCACCAGACACUCUGCUGAUCUGCAACUGGCUCCCUGAGAUAGGAACAAAUGAGUGGUUGUUCCUGAGAUCUCGUGGUGUCAGUAUGUGUUGUGAAGUAACUGCCUGUAAGCUGGCUCUAGCUGCAGAACGCUUCACGGUGCCACCUAUCCUGUCACAAGGAAUUGGACUAAAGAAAGAUUCUGACUGCCAUAAACUAACAUACAACAGAAAUUCUGGAGUCAGUUCAGUCCCGUUGACAAAGGCCCAACCACCAAUGAAGUAUGCCGUUUCCCUUCUUGGUGUCUCUUGGCCACCAAGGGCCAGAGCUGCCAUCGUCUCUCUCUCUGGCAGUCUGGGACAGGUCCUCAGCAAAACAGUUUGUUGUUUUGGAGGGGAGGGUUUUUUUUUCUCCCUUUUCCUGUUUUUCAGACUGCAUCCCGGUAGCUGUGUGAGGUGAACUGGAGGAUAAUCGCUCGAGGUUUGGAGUCGUCUUUCCAUUGGCUGACCGAGCUGAUGUACUGUGUUGAUAACCUCAGGAAACUUGGCCUGGUACUCAGGUGAAGUGCUUGCUGUGCCAGAAGGAACGAGUGUAGAACAAGAAUAUAUCAGUGCUGAGGCAUUAUAGAGCUUUUCAUGAGAAUCAGCAGCCUGCCAACAGACCAGACACAAGCGACAAUUCCAGAAAAACAAAUGAUGGAUGAGGCCUUGGUUAAUAUGAUAAUUCCAGACACCCAGCCAUUGUCAGUGGUGGAAGAUGUGGGUUUGAUGGAGCUCAUGCACAUACUGGAACCCACUGAUCUUCUCCCUACUAGGAAGAUGUCAGAAUGUAGUGACAGUCAGCCUCACCUCUGAUAUCUGGACAUCCAUGAAUAUGGAGACUUACCUUCCAGUAACCUGCCACUUCAUUGAUGACAAUGACAGACUUGGAACAAUUUUGCUUGGAGCAGAACAUUUUCCAAGUCAUCACACAGCAGAAAAUAUGGCUCUGGCAAAAGCAAAAUUGAUGGAGGAGUGGGACAUAAAAGAAAAGGUGAAGUGUCUCAUCACUGAUGCUGCACCAAAUAUGAUAAGCUUGUGCCAAGGCAUUGCAUGUGAGACAUGCUGUUUGCAUCACACACAAUUUAAUAGUGCAAAAGUCAUUUGACCAUGUCCCAGCCCUUAAAGGUGGAGUAUGAGAUUUUUUUCAGGAGUAUUUUUUACCAUAUUGCUUGAAAAGCUCCUCACACCCAUGUUGCAAGCAGUACAAUAGAAGGUUUGACCCAAAAACGAAAUAUUUUAAUCCAGUCUACAGUGUAAAAUAAAGGAAAAAUGCCAUCCAAUCAUAUCGAGGUACCACCUCAAAAUGAUUGGAUACUGACACGUCAAUCAGACUGAAGCCCGAGCAGCCCGGCCCUUCUGUGUGUGUGAGAGAGAGAGAGAGAGAGAGACAGCGAGCAGUGUCGCACAGAAAGCACAGGAUUCUCUCAGUGCGCUUCCUCCAAACAACGGGGAUUUACACGAAAACGGAAGGAGAUAUUCACAAAAUUCUUUCACAGUGAGUGCCACAAGGCUUUCCUGAACACACUGAUGUAAUUUCUUUGUCUGUAGUGUAAAAAAUGAGGUCACUAGAGCGAGUUAAAAACGAGUGACUUUUCUGGCAAGUUUUAUAAUGGAAGUCUAUGAGCUGGGUGGCUGUGCUCUCCUCACUUUCAGGCUUCUCAUUCAAAAACUGCAAGUCCUAUCAUGUAGGUAGACACAUUGUGUGAAUCAGGACAAGUGUGGCUACUACUUUUGAGAAAAUUGUGUGUGGAGUGAAAAUUGGGGCUGAAAACACAGUUUAAAUGAGAAAGUUUGAGCUAUUUUUCCAAGCUCUCUACACUCUGCUCUAAGGGGGAGGAGGGGUGGAGACGCGGGGGGGAGCAUGGCGAGGGCGGGCGUGUUUCUUUUCAAAAUAUGGCUUGCAGGAACCGUUAUUCCAAAAUCUCAUACCCCACCUUUAAUGAUAUGCAUCCCAAAGCCAGAAAAAUCUUCUCUGUUUUUCUGGACAAGUCCUACAGCAAAAGAGAGACUGUGCCAGGUACAGAAGCAAAUGGGGAGGCAGACUCUGAAUAGAGGUAGAUACACGCUGGAACAGCACUUUCCACAUGCUGGAACUCCUUUAUAAUGAGACAGAACCAGUGGGAGCAGCCCUGGCAUCUUUAAAGACCAACAUCUCCCCAGUUAAUGCUCAUGAACAUGAGGCUGUUGGAGAUACUUUACAUAUUCUGGCUCCAAUCCGUCAGGCUACUGUAGAACUAUCUGAGGAGAAAAGGGUAUCUGCUUCAAAUACCUGUCUACAAUGGAGUCACUUAGUGCAAUGACGACGACAACCAUGCUCGACCCGAGGUUUAAAGCCACUGGGUUCCUAUACCAAAAUAAGAUGCAUGAAGCAGUAAAGCAACUGACAGAGUGGGCCAAUAGAAUUACAAUUGCUGAAUCUGCUAGAUCGAGUGAGCCCUUAAUCCAGCAGCCAGCCUCCUCUGAAACAGCUGGGAUGCAAACAGCUGUAUUGUCUUGUAGCAUCUGCUGGACCCCACAGUGAAUCAGAGCAGAAGAAGCUCAAAUGCCACUGCUGAUGCAACAAUAGAAGGGGAACGUUACUUGGGUGACAGACAGCAGAGAGGCUGGAGGAGAUUAAAGACAGUGCAGAGAAGGUAGAGGAAGAGAGGCAGGAAGAGAAAGAGGAGCAGAGGCUGAAGGGGAGGAUGGAGGAGGUAGAGGAGGGGAAUCCACAGCUGGAGGAGAUGGAGAAGCGGAAAGAGAGGUUGGAAAUUCACAGCUUUCCAUGGAAAAGGGACCUGAAUCACCAAAGUCAUCACUGCAGUAAAACCUGAUGUGGAUGAAGGGCUCUGAAUUGAGGAGUUUCGCAUGAAAUGUCUUUGGAAAACGUCUGAAAAAGCUUCUUUCCUCUGACAGUUUUUAUCACUCAUGUUUUUGUUUUCCAUGCAGCCCUACUGUGAAGCAGUUCCCAAAUGUUUACAGAGUGUUAUUAAACGUAGAAGUGAUGCUGCACAGUGGUAAACAUGCCCCUGUCCCAACUCUUUUGAAACAUGUUGCUGACAUCAAAUUCAAAAGGAGCAUAUAGUUUUCAAAAAACAAUAAAAUUUCUCAGUUUCAAUA